UAUAUUUUACUUAAAGGGCGUUCAUCAAAGACAAUAUAAAAGGGUCAAAAAAAUUAAACUAGAAAUAAACUCACUUUCAAUAAACAUUCAAUAAAAUUGGAACAUGAUAAUACUUCCUCAUCAGCCUCUUAUUUUACCAUGAUACUCUUCUUGCUACUAAGAAAAAAUUCACCAAAGAGUCUCAGGUAACAAUAGAAUAAUUAAAAUUGUCUAUAAUCCUAAUUUAAAAUGAACUCUAACUACUAAAGAAACAAAUCAAAGAAAUUAAAAUUGUGCAUUAUGUCUAAGGACAUUUAGGACCUCCUUCCAAUUGAUUCCCUCCGUUAUGAGUUGGGCUAAGUAAGGAGUGUUGUGGAGUAUCACUAUUGCUUCCUGGUCAUUGAUUGGCAUUGUGAAAGAGAUUGCAUGUCCCAUUAGACCUAACUCCAUCCACGAGGCAUGUUGGUAGUCCUGUGCUUGUAGAGGUUGGGCAUAGACAAUCUGAGGGUUCUCUAGUGGGUGUAAGGGUGGAAGGUUUUCCAUUGUUAGUGGUAUGUGUUGUAGAAGGAUUUGAAUUAGACGGUUUCUUCUUUUUAGGGUUGAUGGAAGUCUUGGCAUCUUUAAUGGGGGGGGGGGGGGUAGAAUAUUUAAUAAGCUUGUGGCAGGCAUGGGAUUGAUGCUACUUGAGGAGUGGGAGGGAUUGAGCGAGAGGGUAAUGAUUGAGCUUUCUAAGUACAUGGCUUUUGGUUGCUCAAUGUCUAGUUUUAUAGGAAGAGCCUUAGCAUCCUUUUCGUCUUCUAAGGUAAUGGACAUUUGGUUGCUUUUGUUUUCCUUGGUUGCCAUUUGGCUAACAUGCGCUAGAGGGGGGAUAUUGCCAUAUCUAGGGAGUAGAUUUUGUUCAUUCCCUUCGGUUAACUUAAGAUUAUGGCUAGAUUUUUGUUUAAGAGUGUUAAUAAGUAUAGUAGGGUUAUAAUUAUUAGAAGGGUUAGUUUUAUCUGUUUGGGUGUCAUUUUGCAUGGCACCGUUUUUAUCUAUUUUGUUUACCUUAGUAAAGGCCACGUUAGAGUCCAGCAUGUUAAUAUCUUUGUUUUGAGUGGCCAAGUGUUCACUUUUAUGGCUAUUAGUGGUUUUUAAUAGGUUAUUAAAAUUAUCAUUAGUGGUUUCUUGUAAAACCGUUUGCUUAGUGUUUAGGAGAGAAAAAUGGUUUUUAAUAGGAAUAGUGGUUUGUUCCUUAACUUUAUUGGUCAGAUUAUUAGCAUUUGCAGGUGGUAUGGAGUUGAUGGGAUCUUUAGACUUGUAUUGUAAUAUUUGGCUAUCCAAAUACUUAUCUGUAUUGGCAUUAAACAGCUUGACAGAGAUACCUGGGCCAUUGGAGUUUUUGGUUGGAUUAUUGAUGAAAUGAGAAGUAUUUUUUACUCCUUACUUUCUUCCUUUAUGGAAGGAGAGUGUUUUCCAUUCUGCUUCUAGAUCUUCUAUUAUUGUAGUAGGUUAUUGUUCCUUUAUUGGAUGUUUAAUAUCCUUGCUUGUUUUAUGUAUAUAACCACACUGUCCCUGUGUGUGUCCAAAUCUGUCACACUUUUUACAAAGGAAAUUUUCACCCUCAUAAUGAAUAUAUUGUUUAUGGUGGCCAACAUAUAGGAAAGGUUGAACUGGAAUUUCUAGAGGGAUUUCCACACAAAUUCUUGCAUAGCGACCCCUUAGUGUUGUUGAUGUACAAAUAUCAAUUUUAAGUAGAAGUCCUAUUGCAUUUCCAAUCUUCUCAAGGAUCUUGCCAUCAUAAAAUUCUGUUGGCAAUUGAGGGAGCCUAAUUCAUAUUGCCGAGGUAGUUAACUUUUCAUUUGUAGCCACAAAAUUUGGUUUCCAUCUUGAAAUGGAUAGAAAGUGGUCAUUGCUGAACCAUAGUCCUUGAUGGAUAGCUUUAUCCAUAUUUUCCUUUUUUUUGAAUUUUAUUAUAUAGUAAUCCUAUCCAAGAUCAAUUAAUGAGAAUUCUUCUGUUGGCUUCCAUAACUCUUGGAUCUUUUUCUUUAAAUAAUGGUGUAGCAUGCAUUUCCCCACCAGCUUAAUUAUGAUAGAGCAUUUCCAUGGCUCAUAAAUUCGUUGUCUAUCUUCUUCGGUUAGAGAUAUUCUUUUAAUGCCUCUUACAUUGAAGUUUGAUGCAUGAUCGAACUCUUCCUCUUCUAGGGAGGUUGUUGUUAGGUCUGUGUCAGCCUGGUCCAGAUUUGGGGUGGAAGUCAUUUGGCUAGAGGCAGUUAACAUAUCCUUGAAUGAGGAUUUGUUCUUCCAUUCAUUUUGAGUGGGUUUCUCAUGAACAAUAUCUAGGGGUUUGGAUGGAAUAUUGGUUUCAGCUUCAUAGGGUUGAGGAUUCAUGGUAGGGAACUUGAGAGUUGUUCAAUUAGAGUAGUGUUACUUUCGGUCUCUUUAGCCGCGUCACAUCAAAAUUAUUUAAUGGGUCCUUGUUGUAUAUAUAUAUACACACACACAAUUUUUGCCGAGGCUAAUGAGUUCCGAUGACCCUCCUACUCCUCAUGUAGUCGGAAGUAUAAUUCUUUAUAUUUUGCGAUAUAUAUAUAUAUAUAUAUUUAAUUGGGCGUUCUUGAAAGACGACAUAUAAAGAGGGAAAAGGAACUAAGUUAGAAAAAAACUGAUCACUUGCAAUAAAAAUUCAAUAAAACUAGAACAUGUUAAUGCUUCUUCAUCAGUCUCUUAUUUUACCAUAAUACUCUUUUUGCUACUAAUAAAAAAUUCACCAAAGAGUCUUAGGGAACAAUAGAAUAAUUAAAAUUGUAUAUAAUCCUAAUUAAGAAUUAACUCUAACUACUAUAGAAGAUUGUGCAAUAUGACUAAGGACAUUUGGGACCUCCUUCCUUAGUCUUCCAAUUGUGGUAACAAAGACAUGUUUCUUUGUUGCUAUAAGUUCCAGGAGGCACACACAAGCACUUUGCACAACAUUUUUUACACAAAAAUAAGUAUGGCUUUUUGUGUGAAUAACGCUUUCUUGCAUGGUGAAUUGAGAAGUUUAUAUGAAGUUCCCAGCAGGGGUUGAACCCCAUUGAUUAAGGAAAUCUAUGUAUGGGCUUCGUCAAGCAUCCAGACAAUGGUACGCAUGACUUACAGCAGUCCUGAAUUUCAAGGAAUUUUCUCAUUCGUUGAAUGAUUAUUCUUUAUUUUUUAAAAGGUCGGAAUCCUCUAUAUCUAUUGUGGUUGUGUAUGUAGACGACAUUCUAUUGACAGGGAAUGACAUGGAUGAAUUACAUGAAUUAAAGAUGUUUCUAGAUUAAGAAUUCAAAAUAAAAGAUCUCGGGGACUUACAUUUCUUCCUUGGUAUGGAAGUUCUUCGUGAGGCAACCGGAUUGAUUCUUUGUCAGAGGAAAUUUACUCCAGGUUUGCUAGAGGAAUUUGAUUCUCUGCAUUGCUCCCCUGUUUCCUCUCAUCUUGAUCCCACUGUCAAAUUGCUUGCCAAAACAGGGGAAUCCCUUCUUUCUCCAACUUUGUACAAGCAUCUUUCGGGUAAAUUGAACUAUUUAACUCAUACUUGACCAGAUCUUUGUUUUGCAGUACAUUAUUUGAGUCAAUGCAGGAUCCAAGAAAGCCCCAUUUGCAUGUUGCUCUUCAUAUCCUACGGUAUAUGUUGAAAGACCUAGGUUUGGGGAUUUUCAUGACAGCCUCCCCGUCAUUUCAACUCAUCGCUUUUUGCAACUUAGAUUGGGGAACUUGUACAAAAACAAGGAAAUCAAUGAGUGGUUUCUUCAUUUCAUUUAGAGGGUCUCCAAUUUCAUGGAAAUCGAAGAAGCAGACUUCCAUUUCUCUCAGCUCAGCAGAAGUGGAAUACCGUUCUAUGCGGCGUGUAAUAGCAGAAUUGACAUGGUUAGUACGCCUCUUUAAAGAUCUGUCUAUCCCCAUUUCUUUGCCAAUACCACUCCAUUCCGACAGUCAAGCAGCGAUUCAUAUCACUAAAAAUCCCGUCUUUCAUGAACGAACUAAACACAUAGAAAUUGAUUGUCAUUUCGUGAGACAACAAUUUCUUGCUGGCUUGAUUUCUCUUUCAUUUGUUCGAUCUUCUUCUCAGCUGGUAGAUUUGUUCACUAAACCGUUAACUGGACCUUCUCACCACAAUUUAUUGGGCAAGUUGGGUGUUCUUUCAUCCUCCUCCAACUUGAAAAGGGGUGUUGGAGAUGGUGGUUCUAAUGGUGGUAGUGGUAUUUCUCUCGAAGGUUCCACUGUGGUUCAAGGUGGUUAGUUCUCGUAUGUUUAUCUGAUGUGUUUGUUUGGUCUCAUUAUUAGAUGUGUUUAUCAGACAUAUAUCAAGUACAAAUAUUGGGCUAAAACUUCAACUGACUACUUGGGCUCAAAGCUUCAGAUAUACUUGUUGGGCUCUACAUGUUUUGGGCCUGUUUAGAAGAAUUGUAUUGAGUAGGGGUUUUUUAUUAGCUGUAAAUAUUGAUUCCAUGUUUCUUAGUUUGUUAUAAGAGUGCAAAUAGAAUAGGGACAAGUGGAUAGGUUAGUUAUACAUAGAUUCCAUUCUUUCUUGUUUAUAUAGGGCACUGUACAAAUUACAUGAAUCCAAUAUACACAAAAAACUUUUUCUACAAGUUUUUCUUUCAAUUCUGUGAGUUUCUACCACUAGUCCUAACAUCAGUUACUUAUUAUUCGGAAACAAUUUAAUUCUAAAUUUCUCACUUUAUUCUUAAUAACUUUAAAUUUCUUAUUUUAAAAAUAAAGUAUAAUUUUUUUUUUUUGCAAUCUAUUUAUAUAUUUUACUUAAAAGGCAUUCGUCAAAGACAAAAUAAAAAGGAGAAAAAAAUUUAAGCUAGAAAUAAACUCACUUUCAAUAAACAUUCAAUAAAUUGGAACAUGAUAAUACUUCUUCAUCAGUCUCUUAUUUUACCAUAAUACUCUAUUUGCUACUAAGAAAAAAUUCACCAAAGAGUCUUAGGUAACAAUAGAAUAAUUAAAAUUGUAUAUAAUCCUAAUUAAGAAUUAACUCUAACUACUAUAGAAGAUUGUGCAAUAUGACUAAGGACAUUUGGGACCUCCUUCCUUAGUCUUCCA
rnacentral:lncRNA from 1 species